AAAGGAGCGCUUCAGGCUGCCUUCAGGCUCUGUGGAUGUUGAGUUCGCAGUCUGGAGAUCCAUAUCCUUUCAUAUCUCUUCCUCUGGCCCUCCGUCCACGUCACACAGGUUUGAAGUCCCAUUAUGCUCAGAUGUUGUAAUGUGUGUGUUUGAAAAUGCAACACUAACGGGGUGCCCAGUCUGUUCCUCUCAAUGCUAUAGAUAUGUUGUUUUAACCUCUCCAACAAAGUUUGACCUGUUUCACCCACAUAGAGUAGACGGCAUUUUUCGCACCAGAUGCAAUAAAUGAUAUUCCUCAUAUUAAGGGUCAUUCUCUGCAGAAUGGGUGCCCCUAUUUUUCCACGAGGAUUGUACACAAAACAGUCUCAGCUUAAAGGCCCAAUGGUCGGGUUUCGCUGAUCUUAUUCGCCUCAUCUGUUCUGGUAAUUUGGCCCUGACAAGCAUGUCUCUUAGAUUCUUAUUUCUCCUAUGGGCUGUAGUGAUGGGUCGUUCGCGAACGAAAUGGCUCUUAGAGCCGGCUCUUUGACGUGAACGACGCGAGCCGGCUCCUUAUCGCGAGCCGUCACGUGGGUUUUUUUUUUUUCUUUCUCUCAGCCUCUCUCUCGCACUUUUUUUCCGUUUCACUCUGCACGCGAGCCUUGUGCUUUACGCUGGGCAGAGGGGGGAGGGGCGGUAGUUACACUCAGUAGCACAGGAACAGAGCCAGAGAGAGAGAAAGAGAGGCAGGGACAACAACAUUAGAAAGGUAUAGUAAUCAUCCACAACUAUUUUCAGUUGCAGAUGAUAAAGGAUUGAGAAAGUUUAUUCAUGCAGGUCCAUAUGACAGAGAAUAUGCAUGUUCUUUUAGUUUUCAUAUUAUAAUUUAUAUUUAAUUGUGUUGUGGUUUGCAGUGUUUUGUGUUCUUUUCACUUUAAAUUUGUGAAAGGAAAAAGCUGAAAAUUUAAAUAGUUAAAAGUUGAAAUGUGAAUAGUUGAUUUUUGUAUUAUAUGAUUUAUUUAUUACAUUUUAUGUGGAGUGAAUAAAUAAAAGUAUAUUUACGGUGGCCCCUAG
ensembl:lncRNA